rnacentral:rRNA from 1 species
GGUGACGAGUGGCGGACGGGUGAGUAAWGUMUGGGGAUCUGCCCGAUAGAGGGGGAUAACCACUGGAAACGGUGGCUAAUACCGCAUAACGUCGCAAGACCAAAGAGGGGGACCUUCGGGCCUCUCACUAUCGGAUGAACCCAGAUGGGAUUAGCUAGUAGGCGGGGUAAUGGCCCACCUAGGSGACGAUCCCUAGCUGGUCUGAGAGGAUGACCAGCCACACUGGAACUGAGACACGGUCCAGACUCCUACGGGAGGCAGCAGUGGGGAAUAUUGCACAAUGGGCGCAAGCCUGAUGCAGCCAUGCCGCGUGUAUGAAGAAGGCCUUCGGGUUGUAAAGUACUUUCAGCGGGGAGGAAGGCGACGGGGUUAAUAACCCUGUCG